GACGGUGUGGCGCAAGAAGGGAUGUGGGACGUGAGCCUGCCUGGAGCCGCCGUUGGUGCAGAUCUUGGUGGUAGUAGCAAAUACUCGAGCGAUAUCCUGGAGAUCUGAUGUGGAGAAGGGUUCCAUGUGAACAGCCUUUGCACAUGGGUCAGUCUGUCCUAAGCUGCAGGAGAAAUCCGGGUUCUGGCGAAAUUAGCGCUCCCGAAAAACCAAUAAAUACAUUGAAUAAAUGGGUGUCGCUACCAAACCUAAGCGAGAGGGAAUCCGGUACUGAUUCCGGAACCUGGUCACGGAUAACCUUUCUUCGGAGAGGGUUGUUGGGGUCCUCGUGAUCUACACCGUAAGGUAGCUAAACUCGGGGAAGUCGGCCGCUGUCCCGGGCAGAGUUUUCUGUUCUGUAUAAGGGCCCGGAUCCCUGGAAUCGCCUCGUCGCGGAGAGAGGGAACUGGUUUUAUUUUAGCCCGAAGAGCCCCGCAGUUCUUGCGGGGUCCGAUUGGCAUGGCGGUCGAACCAAUGAAACACUCGAGGGAGGGUCGUACACACUUUCGUGCCAGUCCUGUACC
rnacentral:rRNA from 1 species